rnacentral:rRNA from 1 species
GGCGAAAGCCUGACGCAGCCAUGCCGCGUGAAUGAUGAAGGUCUUAGGAUUGUAAAAUUCUUUCACCGGGGAAGAUAAUGACGGUACCCGGAGAAGAAGCCCCGGCUAACUUCGUGCCAGCAGCCGCGGUAAUACGAAGGGGGCUAGCGUUGCUCGGAAUUACUGGGCGUAAAGGGCGCGUAGGCGGAUAGUUUAGUCAGAGGUAAAAGCCCAGGGCUCAACCUUGGAACUGCCUUUGAUACUGGCUAUCUUGAGUUCGGGAGAGGUGAGUGGAAUGCCGAGUGUAGAGGUGAAAUUCGUAGAUAUUCGGCGGAACACCAGUGGCGAAGGCGACUCACUGGCCCGAUACUGACGCUGAGGCGCGAAAGCGUGGGGAGCAAACAGGAUUAGAUACCCUGGUAGUCCACGCUGUAAACGAUGAGUGCUAGUUGUCGGCAUGCAUGCAUGUCGGUGACGCAGCUAACGCAUUAAGCACUCCGCCUGGGGAGUACGGUCGCAAGAUUAAAACUCAAAGGAAUUGACGG